CCUGAUGCAGCCAUGCCGCGUGUGCGAUGAAGGCCUUCGGGUUGUAAAGCACUUUUGGCAGGAAAGAAACGUCCUGGGUUAAUACCCCGGGGAACUGACGGUACCUGCAGAAUAAGCACCGGCUAACUACGUGCCAGCAGCCGCGGUAAUACGUAGGGUGCAAGCGUUAAUCGGAAUUACUGGGCGUAAAGCGUGCGCAGGCGGUUCGGAAAGAAAGAUGUGAAAUCCCAGAGCUUAACUUUGGAACUGCAUUUUUAACUACCGAGCUAGAGUGUGUCAGAGGGAGGUGGAAUUCCGCGUGUAGCAGUGAAAUGCGUAGAUAUGCGGAGGAACACCGAUGGCGAAGGCAGCCUCCUGGGAUAACACUGACGCUCAUGCACGAAAGCGUGGGGAGCAAACAGGAUUAGAUACCCUGGUAGUCCACGCCCUAAACGAUGUCAACUAGCUGUUGGGGCCUUCGGGCCUUGGUAGCGCAGCUAACGCGUGAAGUUGACCGCCUGGGGAGUACGGUCGCAAGAUUAAAACUCAAAGGAUUGGACGGGG
rnacentral:rRNA from 1 species